rnacentral:rRNA from 1 species
UACGUAGGGGGCAAGCGUUAUCCGGAUUUAUUGGGCAUAAAGGGCGCGUAGGCGGUAUUUUAAGUCAGCUGUAAAAUCCCUUGGCUCAACCAAGGUCUGCCGUUGAUACUGAAAUGCUAGAGAUCGGAAGAGGAAAGUAGAACUCACGGUGUAGCGGUGAAAUGCGUAGAUAUCGUGAGGAACACCAGUUGCGAAGGCGGCUUUCUGGUCCGAAUCUGACGCUGAGGCGCGAAAGCGUGGGGAGCAAACGGG